GGUUCGGGAUAGCGCGGGAAACUGCAGUAAUACCGAAUAAUGUCUCGNNAAAAUUUAUUGCCCNNGGAUCGGUCUGCUUACUAUUAGCUUGUUGGUGGGGUAAAGGCCUACCAAGGCAAAGAUGGUUAGCGGGUGUGAGAGCAUGGCCCGUCUCACUGGGACUGAGACACUGCCCAGACACCUACGGGUGGCUGNAGUCGAGAAUCUUCCGCAAUGGACGAAAGUCUGACGGAGCGACGCCGCGUGCGGGAUGAAGGCCUUCGGGUUGUAAACCGCUGUCAGAGGGGAGCAAAUUUUGAGNAAUCCUCAAAGNAAG
rnacentral:rRNA from 1 species